rnacentral:rRNA from 2 species
GGACGAACGCUGGCGGCGUGCCUAAUACAUGCAAGUCGAACGAACUCUGGUAUUGAUUGGUGCUUGCAUCAUGAUUUACAUUUGAGUGAGUGGCGAACUGGUGAGUAACACGUGGGAAACCUGCCCAGAAGCGGGGGAUAACACCUGGAAACAGAUGCUAAUACCGCAUAACAACUUGGACCGCAUGGUCCGAGUUUGAAAGAUGGCUUCGGCUAUCACUUUUGGAUGGUCCCGCGGCGUAUUAGCUAGAUGGUGGGGUAACGGCUCACCAUGGCAAUGAUACGUAGCCGACCUGAGAGGGUAAUCGGCCACAUUGGGACUGAGACACGGCCCAAACUCCUACGGGAGGCAGCAGUAGGGAAUCUUCCACAAUGGACGAAAGUCUGAUGGAGCAACGCCGCGUGAGUGAAGAAGGGUUUCGGCUCGUAAAACUCUGUUGUUAAAGAAGAACAUAUCUGAGAGUAACUGUUCAGGUAUUGACGGUAUUUAACCAGAAAGCCACGGCUAACUACGUGCCAGCAGCCGCGGUAAUACGUAGGUGGCAAGCGUUGUCCGGAUUUAUUGGGCGUAAAGCGAGCGCAUGCGGUUUUUUAAGUCUGAUGUGAAAGCCUUCGGCUCAACCGAAGAAGUGCAUCGGAAACUGGGAAACUUGAGUGCAGAAGAGGACAGUGGAACUCCAUGUGUAGCGGUGAAAUGCGUAGAUAUAUGGAAGAACACCAGUGGCGAAGGCGGCUGUCUGGUCUGUAACUGACGCUGAGGCUCGAAAGUAUGGGUAGCAAACAGGAUUAGAUACCCUGGUAGUCCAUACCGUAAACGAUGAAUGCUAAGUGUUGGAGGGUUUCCGCCCUUCAGUGCUGCAGCUAACGCAUUAAGCAUUCCGCCUGGGGAGUACGGCCGCAAGGCUGAAACUCAAAGGAAUUGACGGGGGCCCGCACAAGCGGUGGAGCAUGUGGUUUAAUUCGAAGCUACGCGAAGAACCUUACCAGGUCUUGACAUACUAUGCAAAUCUAAGAGAUUAGACGUUCCCUUCGGGGACAUGGAUACAGGUGGUGCAUGGUUGUCGUCAGCUCGUGUCGUGAGAUGUUGGGUUAAGUCCCGCAACGAGCGCAACCCUUAUUAUCAGUUGCCAGCAUUAAGUUGGGCACUCUGGUGAGACUGCCGGUGACAAACCGGAGGAAGGUGGGGAUGACGUCAAAUCAUCAUGCCCCUUAUGACCUGGGCUACACACGUGCUACAAUGGAUGGUACAACGAGUUGCGAACUCGCGAGAGUAAGCUAAUCUCUUAAAGCCAUUCUCAGUUCGGAUUGUAGGCUGCAACUCGCCUACAUGAAGUCGGAAUCGCUAGUAAUCGCGGAUCAGCAUGCCGCGGUGAAUACGUUCCCGGGCCUUGUACACACCGCCCGUCACACCAUGAGAGUUUGUAACACCCAAAGUCGGUGGGGUAACCUUUUAGGAACCAGCCGCCUAAGGUGGGACAGAUGAUUAGGGUGAAGUCG